GGAAAGUUGAUGAAUUCUGUUUGCAUUGUCCUAGUACGUCUAAUGAUGCCUUUGAGCUGUGCUGUCCAGUGACAGUUCCCUGAUGUCCCCAGAUGCAGGACACCAGACAAAAUUUAAGUAAGCUCAAGCAUAGCAGGAUUACUGGACUGCAGAGGACACUGGUCAAGGAUUCUGUUUAUCUCUCCCCACCAAAACACCUAAACUUAAAUAAGGC